AGUGAACGCUGGCGGUAGGCCUAACACAUGCAAGUCGAACGGCAGCACAGUAAGAGCUUGCUCUUACGGGUGGCGAGUGGCGGACGGGUGAGGAAUACAUCGGAAUCUACUUUUUCGUGGGGGAUAACGUAGGGAAACUUUCGCUAAUACCGCAUACGACCUACGGGUGAAAGCAGGGGAUCUUCGGACCUUGCGCGAUUGAAUGAGCCGAUGUCGGAUUAGCUAGUUGGCGGGGUAAAGGCCCACCAAGGCGACGAUCCGUAGCUGGUCUGAGAGGAUGAUCAGCCACGCUGGAACUGAGACACGGUCCAGACUCCUACGGGAGGCAGCAGUGGGGAAUAUUGGACAAUGGGCGCAAGCCUGAUCCAGCCAUACCGCGUGGGUGAAGAAGGCCCUCGGGUUGUAAAGCCCUUUUGUUGGGAAAGAAAAGCAGCAGGUUAAUACCCCGCUGUUCUGACGGUACCCAAAGAAUAAGCACCGGCUAACUUCGUG
rnacentral:rRNA from 1 species